UACAGAGGGUGCAAGCGUUAUUCGGAAUCACUGGGCGUAAAGAGCGCGUAGGCGGUUUGCUAAGUCCGAUGUGAAAUCCCUGGACCCAAUCCAGGAACUGCAUCGGAUACUGGUAGACUAGAGUAUAGGAGAGGAGAGCGGAAUUCCUGGUGUAGAGGUGAAAUUCGUAGAUAUCAGGAGGAACAACAGAAGCGAAGGCGGCUCUCUGAACUAUUACUGGACGCUGAGGCGCGAA
rnacentral:rRNA from 1 species